CUGAACGUCGUUCGGAUCUCUUCCUCUAAGGUGAAAACAUCCGGCCCGGUUCCGGCCCGGUUCCGGCCCGGUUCCGGCUCCAGGACGGGUCGCUCCGGUUCGGUUCCGGUUCCUUUCUGGCCGUGGCGUUGCCAUGGCGCCGGGCCUUUGUGGCGCUAAUGUCGGCAAACUGGAGGUAAAUUACGAGGCUGAGCAAACAGCCGCUCAGAGAAAGGAAGACGGAUGGAGCCGCUGCGUUACAUUAAAACCUUCCUGAAGCGGCGGCGGAAACAUAUCGAUAACAGCCGACAGACGAACAAUAAACUGUAUUUGAUCACCGCGGUCUGUGUGCAGAGCUGAGGAAGAGGAGGAGGAGGAGGAAGAGGAGGACAUGGAGGAGGACAUGGAGGAGGACAUCAGAUCGAGAUGCUUCUGCUGUUCAUGCUGCAAACUUUCAGGACACAAAACAAACUAGAAGUUUAGCAUUUCCUGUGGAGCGCAGAGCGAAUCCUGGAGCCUGAAGCUAACAGCAGAAACAGUGUGGAGUGUCAGUGUCUGGGAUCAUGAGCGCCCCCUGCCAUGAGGCCAGAGAACUGCCUGCCUCACCUCCAGUUCUCCGGUUUCUGAUCGCUGCUGAGCACGAAACACGUUGCACACACAGUUGGUGACAAGAUCAGUGUACAUUAUAUACAUGAGCUAAAUGAUGUAAAAUCAGUUGAUACAUUAAAUGUUUUUUAGCCAUUUAAUUGGCGCCGUUCAGACAGGAGGAGCUGCUAUCUGAACAACACCAGUUGCUGGAGACUUCGGAUCAAGGAGCCCCUUCCAUUAAAAUAUGAUUCUAUUCUUU